rnacentral:rRNA from 1 species
AUUGAACGCUGGCGGCAGGCCUAACACAUGCAAGUCGAGCGCGCGGCGGACGGGUGAGUAAUAUCUGUGAAACUGCCUGAUGGAGGGGGAUAACUACUGGAAACCGUAGCCAAUACCGCAUACCAUCAGAUGUGCCCAGAUGUGCUUAUCUAGUAGGGGGGGUCACGGCUCACCGAGGCGACGCACCCCAGCUGGUCUGAGAGGAUGACCAGCCACAGUGGAACGAGGACACGGUCCAGACUCCUACGGGAGGCAGCAGUGGGGAAUUUUGGACAAUGGGCGCAAGCCUGAUGCAGCCAGGCCGCGUGUGUGAAGAAGGCCUUCGGGUUGUAAAGCACGUUCAGCGGGGAGACGUUACCCGCAAAAGAAGCACCGGCUAACUCCGUGCCAGCAGCCGCGGUAAUUC